ACCUGGCUGUUCCAGCCCCCCAGUGGAGGCACCCAUGUGCGGGUGAAGCCCACCUGCGGUGCCAGGCCCUGGAGCAGGGGCUGCAGAGCAGCCAGCCAGAAAGAUGCUGAAUCCUGAGCCAAUGAGGAUGGUGGCUUUAGGACGCUCUGCUAGGGUGUUGCCCUUGUGUCUAAGCAGAUAACCGAAGCUGGCAUGCGGCGUCUCCCCUGCCCCCUUUCCUUCCAGAGCUCACUGGACGGGGACCGCCAAAGUGGACCUGGACCCCAUGGGCUUAGUAAGAAGGCCAGAGGCCCCCCCAACCGACAGUCACUGGCCUGUGGAGCCUGUGGCGACGGUUCUAGCUUUGCCCUCUUUGUCUCACACCUCCCGGGACUUCCAGGUUGGAGCAGCACUGCGGGCCAGCUGUGCCAAGGCCCAGGGCCUCCCGAGUGCCUGGCAAGCACCCACUGAUCAAUCCUGAGCUGGAGUCCAGGCAGUGCCCUCACCACCCUCCAAGAGUUCCCAGAGAGAAACGAGGAAGCUCUUCAGCUGCGUGGCCCCAGCUCCUCCCCAGAUGGCUUCUGCUUUCUGUUGGAGGUAAAGAAACUCACAAGCUCUGGAAGGCAGAAGUGAAAGAGCAGCUGUUCUCUGCGGUCACGCUGGAACCACAGACCCCACACCCCACCAGGAGAGGCUCUCUGUGCCGGCCACCAUGUGUGGGGCCUCACACAUGAAAACUGGAAGAGCCCAAGAGGCCGGCAGCUGCCCCUGCAUGCCCGAGGCUUCCGUUUCCCCGGAUUUCAGAGGUCGGAGGACCUGGCCUCUGCCUGAUGGCACCUGUGCCCGAGCUGCUCCAGGUGACCAGUGCCCUGGCUUCAGAGGCACUGUGGGUUUGAGAAACAGUCACACGCAGGCGGGCAUGGUGGGGACCUUCAGCUCUGCAUCCCCACCUCCACCUGGCAGCCGCCUCCCGGCCUGGACCACGAGUUGCCCCCACCAGAGGGAAGGGCCGAGCGUGGGGAGGGCGUGUCAGCUUGGCAGGCAUCUUCUGGCCCGUGCUCCCGGUCAGGGCUUGUCCCACCCGCCCGCUCCCUCUGGCCCAGUGUUUCUGCUGCCUAAGCGCAUUCUCCAAUUCUCCCAGGCUGCCCCUGAGAUCUUUCUCUCUGUCCAGGUGUGAGCUCUGGACACUCCCCCAUCUGAGUGUUCUCAGGCCUCCUGAAAGCCUGGCUUGACGUCUGCCAUCAGCCUCUGGGAGGCCCUCGGUCUUGUCUUCUCCAUGACCCCCCCUCCUCCUCUGGGCCCUGUUAUGGUCGAAUUCGGGACCCCCAAAAGACCACCAGA